rnacentral:lncRNA from 1 species
GGGAAUCGUUAAGACACACAGGUUGAUAAACAAUGGUGAAAAACGGCAAAGAAGAAGACAGGUAGUUUCCUAUACACCCAUCUCUAUCACCGACUUCUAUUAACCUAAUUUUGUGCAUUUAUCCCAUAAUUUCUCUUUCUGACACCAUUAUCAGCGACUCCGAACGACACAUCGAAGACUCCUACAUCAACGGUAUGCAACAGUGCGCGACGACCAUAUGCGACGGUUCAGAAUUCUUCCAUGGUUGAUUUCUCAAAAAUGGAGUUUGUAAACAAGCUUGCUUUUUAGAUCUACACUAUUUGUUGACUCAUAAAUAUUUGUUUCGUAUGAAAUUUGUUUUAUCAGAGUCCACAACAAAGAAGAGAUCAUUGUUUU